rnacentral:sRNA from 1 species
CCUGGGGUUGAAACCUCAGGCUAUUCUCUAUCGUCCCUUCGGGACU